GAUGAAAUACCAGGUGAAGGCCGGGUGCGGCAGCUCACCCCUGUAAUCCCAGCACUUUGGGAGGCCAAGGCGGGCGGAUCACUAGGUCAGAAGAUCGAGACCAUCCUGGCUAACACGGUGAAACCCCGUCUCUACUAAAAAUACACAAAAUUAGCUGGGCAUGGUGGCGGGCACCUAUAGUCCCAGCUACUCGGGAGGCUGAGGCAGGAGAAUGGUGGGAACCUGGGAGGCGGAGCUUGCAGCGAGCCGAGAUCCUGUCACUGCCCUCCAGCCUGGGCGACAGAGUGAGACUCCGUCUCAAAAACAAAAAAAAGAAAUACCAGGUGAAGCAUAUGCCCUGCAAGCUUAGGGGUGCUACAGUUGACCACUGUAGCAGUAAAGAUGACUGAAGAAUAGCAUGGGAUGGAUCCUUUCGAAUGCACUUGAGCAGCAGUCUCCAACCACAGGGCCACAGAGCCAGAGGUGAGCAGCAGCUGGAUCUACCAUGAAAGACUUCUGAAUCCAGGAAAAGAGACUGACUGGGUAACAUGUUAUUCAGGAGAUGGGGUCUCACCCUGUCACCCAGGCUUGAGUACAGU
rnacentral:lncRNA from 1 species